UUCUUCAUAAUGCGAUAAAAUAUAGGACAUAUGCUGCUUACCGUUUGAAGGUUUUCGUGAAUUUAGAACCGUAACGGAAAUUAAUUAUCAUAAGAUGACAAAGAUUACGGCCAUUUUCGUUCUCCUGUCCAUCCACGGUUCUGAAGCAGGGAUCUACAGCUUAUUUACGCCGGCGUCACGAUUGUCUGGAUUCAUCAUGGAAAAAAUUUCUCCGAUUGGAAUGGAUAUGUGUGUUAGAGAAUGUUCGAAAAGGGUUUCCUGCGCUUCUGUUAAUUUCCACCGCGGAAGAUUAGAGUGUGAGUUGUCAUAUAGUGACGUCACAGCAAAUCCAUCUAACAAGACGUCAGAUUCCGAAUUUAUCUACAUCGGAAGGAACCAAAUACCACAAGAGUAUUUCGACGCUUGUAGUGCGUCGUGCUCCACAAGACGGCGUUGCGUCACUGCGUCAACUGGACACAAAUGCGUCCAGUCAGACUGCCCUACUGAUCAUCCGGACUCAAAUUCCACAGGGGUCAAGGUCACAUCCACCAAGAUCGGGACAGUCCUAACUUACACGUGCAACUCGGAUCCUUAAAUAACCUUGACCUCUAAAUGCAGAGGUGAUGGAACUUGGACAUCCUCUGCUACUUCGUGCAUCGUGUCACUGCCGGAAUUACCUGACUGCUUCAACACUACAACCUCCUGCUGGGUCCAGCAUAACUUCACUUAUGACAACACCUGGGACGGAUGUACCGGGGGAACUCGUUAUGUCCGGAGAACUCAGUAUCCUUCCGCACCGUAUGUGGGCGUGGUCCUGUGUAGUCCUACCAGAUACAAAAUUUUGUUGGGGCCUGCUCUCACUGAUACAUUCCUCAAUGUUGGUGAUGGUUCUGGAUCAGGGGCGGAUCACUGUGAACUUGUAGGCGGCCUGGAGGCUGAUGCAGUGAUGGCAAAUGAUUAUACAACAGCCCCAGCUCUUACAGGAUAUUACCGUUCAAGCUGGGGCCAGGCUUUCACUAUUGGGUUAAUUGGCUACUCGGAAACAUCUUAUUUCUACAAUUCGUGGCAAGAAUGUGGAGUGACUAUUCCACCGCCAUCAGAACCUGCCUGUUUCAACACUACGACAUCGUGCUGGUAUGAGUAUAGUUUUGAUCAUGAUACUGCGUGGAACGGAUGUACAGGCGGGAAGAGAUACGUCAUGAAGACCAAAUAUACUUCCGCUCCUAUUGUCGGAGUAGAACUUUGUAACUCAACAAGGUACCAGCUUUUCCUGGGAGCAAAUUUAACGGAUACGUUUCUGAACAUUGGUGAUGGGUCGGGCGAGGGGGCUGACCACUGUGAAUUGGUAGGGGGACUUGAGGUGAAUGCUGUACUCCCCGGGACUUACAGCAGCGCACCUGCGCUCACGGGGUAUGCCCGUUCAUCCGUUGGCCAGGAAUUCAACAUACAAGCGAUUGCAGGAGGUUCAGGGUGGUACAGUAACCCAUGGUAUGAGUGUGGGGUCAAGAUACCCUGGCCACAUGAACCAGCCUGUAUGAGCGCCACGCCCCCUUGUUGGUACGCCCACAAUGUGUCAGUAGACAACAGCUUCAAUGGUUGUACUGGACAGAUACUUGUCAAGAGGACAAACUACACAUCGGCUCCUUAUCUCGCCGUGCAGCUGUGCAGUAGCACCAGGUACAAGUUAUUCCUUGGCUCUAGCUUAGGGGCUACCUUCAUGAACAUCGGGGACGGUAGUGGGUCGGGCGCGGAUCACUGUGAACUCGUGGGUGGGUCUGAAGCUAAUGCACUCGACGCAGGAAACUACGUGAGCUCCCCAUCAGUUGACGGCUACUAUAGGAAUACGGCUGGACAGGAGUUUAGUUACGGACCCAUAGGUUAUAUACAGUCAUCCUACUAUUUCCACAGCUUUUUGGAGUGUGGAGUGUCAAUUCCCGGAACAAAUACCGUGGUCUAUGGAUAAUUCUAUAUAUAGACAUCACGCAAUUCGACAUCGGCAUUUCGUCAAUCCGAGAAUUUUUUUUCGUGAGUGAAAGCGAUAGUCUCAUCACUGCUUGUAAAAUAAUUUAACGGGGAUUCUUUUUUACAGAUUUGUCAAUAUUAUUUAUUAAAUCAUAUUAUAUACAUUAACUUUAUAAUUUUCGUAUAUAAUCGUUAAUUUUUAAUGUACAAGUCAGGUAUAUGCGUAAAACAUAUUCCUGAUGCAAAGAUUUUGUCAUGUUUGUUAUUUUAUGAAAAUCAUUGCUAUACAGACUUGAGUAAAGCUUUAGAGCCCUGUUGCCGCUUUCAGAUUAUCUCUUUUUGUUAUGAUAUCGCAUAUAACGUCAAUCUUCAAGAAUUGAUUAACAAUCGUUUCCACAACAUAUCAGAAAUGACCCAAUAUUCAUGUACCUGUUUGUUUGACUAUUUUUUUGUCUUUACAUUAUAUAAACUUGAUGUAUAAAGGAUUUAAUUUUUUUAAACAAUUAGACAUUAUUACUUAAAUCUUCAAUAUCAAAUUAAAUGUAAAGUUACUGUAAGUAAUGUUUUGUGAACGUAUAAUGAAUCAAUAAACAUUAGUCGAUUUU
rnacentral:misc_RNA from 1 species